rnacentral:tRNA from 1 species
GGUUGUGGUUCAGUGGUAGAGCACUUGCCUAAUAUGUGUGAGGCCCUGGGUUCGAUCCUCAGCACCA